rnacentral:rRNA from 1 species
AUUGAACGCUGGCGGCAGGCCUAACACAUGCAAGUCGAACGAGUGGCGGACGGGUGAGUAAUGUCUGGGAAACUGCCUGAUGGAGGGGGAUAACUACUGGACACGGUAGCUAAUACCGCAUACCAUCGGAUGUGCCCCGAUGGGAUUGGCUAGGAGGGGGGGUAACGGCCCACCGAGGCGACGAUGCCUCGCUGGUCUGAGAGGAGUACCAGCCACACUUGAACUGAGACACGGACCAGAAUCCUACGGGAGGCAGCAGUGGGGAAUAUUGCACAAUGGGCGCAAGCAUGAUGCAGCCAUGCCGCGUGUAUGAAGAAGGCCUUCGGGUUGUAAAGUACUUUCAGCGGGGAGGCGUUACCCGAAGAAGAAGCACCGGCUAACUCCGUGCCAGCCGCCGCGGUAAAUG